AACGAACGCUGGCGGCGCGCCUAAUACAUGCAAGUCGAGCGAGAAGACGUAGCAAUACGUUUGUAAAGCGGCGAACGGGUGAGGAAUACAUGGGUAACCUACCCUCGAGUGGGGAAUAACUAGCCGAAAGGUUAGCUAAUACCGCGUACGCUCCUUGGACUUCGGUUCAGGGAGGAAAGCGAUACCGUGGGUAUCGCGCUCUUGGAUGGGCUCAUGUCCUAUCAGCUUGUUGGUGAGGAACGGCUCACCAAGGCUUCGACGGGUAGCUGGUCUGAGAGGACGAUCAGCCACACUGGCACUGCGACACGGGCCAGACUCCUACGGGAGGCAGCAGUAAGGAAUAUUGCGCAAUGGGCGAAAGCCUGACGCAGCGACGCCGCGUGGGGGAUGAAGGUCUUCGGAUUGUAAACCCCUUUCGGGAGGGAAGAGAGCUCAGGGCCGAAUAAGCUUUGAGUCCGACGGUACCUUGCGUAAGCCACGGCUAACUACGUGCCA
rnacentral:rRNA from 1 species